AUCUCUGCUGCCUUUAUGCCUGAAUUCCAAGGAAGCUGAUCUUUCCUGUGUUUACUGCUUUGUGCAGCCACUGAAGAAAGAUGAGCAAUUGUCUCUCUCUACCAACAUUUCCAAAAUGUGCUCGGCUGGAGAUCUCAUUUGCAUGACAAAGAUGCCCCAUUAAUGAGCCAGUGGCCUGGUGGGCCAGGAGGGCUUUGGGGCACACCCAAACUGACUCUAUGAAACUACAGAAUUGCUUAUUACGUACGAUGCCCCCUCCAGACAACCACACUCAGACCGUGGGACAGCUUCCCUGGAGUCUGCGUUCUUUGUCCUUUGGAGGAUCUGGAAGAUAGCAGGGAUCAGUGAGAACUAUGCAGACUCCCAGCUCUGCUCCCAGGUCUUGGAGGCCAUGCCUUCGAGGUGGUAGUGGGCUAACCCUUAUUCAGAAGACUCACCUCUACUAUAAUUGUUUUCUUCCUGAUAUUCUGCUUUAUAGAUCAGUCAUGUGACCUUCUGAGGCCACAGGGUUUUCACUGUUGAAUAGUUCUUCGGAAUAACUCACACGUCCUGAGUGUGUGCUGAGUGCCAGGCACCAUUCCAGCGUUCUCGUGGGUUAUCUCGUGUAACACCGAUGGCUGCCCUUGAGCUACGGGUGAUUAUCGUACCCAUUUUACAGAUGAGGACGCUGACCCUAACCACAUCUGAAGUCCACCAAGGUGGACAGAAAUGCUCUCCUUGCUGGGCUCCCUGAGCUGUGUGGUAAACGGAAUUCCUGUCUUUUCAGGAUGCCACUGCUGUCUCCCACUGUCCCUUUCCCUCUCCUCUCUCCUAACAGAUCCUGGAUUUGCUCAAAGUGACAAUACUAGGGCACUGGGGAUUGACUCCAUUUGUAUACACACAGGAUUUGUGGGAAGACAGGUGCGAGGGUUUUCUCUCUCCAGUUCUCCAAUCACUAUUCCCCUUUUCCUGAGGGUGUGUCUUCAUCUUUUCCACACGAAGAGCAUCUUUCUCCUUCUCUCUGGUCUCCCCAGAACCAUAAUCGAUGCUCUUUCUUUACUUCGAUUAAAAAAAUCCCCAUCCCAGUAGCAUUUUUUUUUGUUGUUUGAGUCUCCCUCAGAUAGGUCCAUGAAAGAGGGCAAAGAGCCCAGGUUCUAUUUGGGGAAAUCUUGAUCUACAUGUUAAUUACGCACCUCAGUUUUCACAGUGUGUUACUUUGGUUGCAGACCCAGCCUAAGCCAGAUCCAAGUGGGUUGUACAACCAAACCCUGGGAAGGACAGUGACCAGUGAUGGGGUUCAGGAUCCUCUACCCCCAAAUACGGCACCUUGGCAUGUUGAAAAUUUUAAGCUAAAGGAGUCUGAGAAAACAGCAGAACUACCUUCUCCCUGAAAAAGGUCAUAAAAUCCUCAUGUGAUGGAUGCCCUCCUUAUACCCACAGGAAAGAGAAUCUUUGUCUCCCAAGACAAAGGGACACCAAGAAGAAUCUAAGCAAACAGGACAUGCCUAGUCUCCCCUGUUUACUAGCCUUCCUCCUACCCCUUAACCUGUCAUGUUCCUCCACGACUGUCUGCUCUUCCUCAAACCCAGCAUAAAAAUACCCAGUUCUGUUUCUUUGGAUCUUCCUUUCCUUAUGAAGGCGCCCAUGUCAGGUAAAACUUAACGAAAUGUGUAUCCUUUUCUCCUGUUCAUCUGUCUCUGGCAGUCUACUUUUCAGACCCGGUCAGGCACCCUACAAGGGUCCAGGAAAACUUUUUCUUCCCUCCACAGGGUGAACCCACGGCUCGGGAGCCCUGAAUGGUGCUCGGUGUGUGCUUGACUUUCAUGUCUGUUUCUCUGUGAUAGUUUCAUUUCUCUCCCAUGAGAAGGAAAGCAUGGCUGAUGGCAUCUCCCAAGCUUUGUAUUUAACAACUUCACAGAGGGACUUAACAAUCCCUCCCUUUUCUCCCUCUGGGAGGAUUCGUUGGGCCAAGCAAAGACCCAGAGUAAUAACAUGAUGGCCCAGAGUUGCCAUGGGGAUCACGGGACUCUGAAGAGAAGGGUUGGGCAGAUGGAGCCCUAGAUACCCAAGACAGUUCAUCGUCCUCAUUAACGUCCCAGUACAGCCUCUAAGAGCAAGUCACACGGCCAAGGUCAGAGUCAGCGUCAAAGGAGAGCAACAACGUGGAUACAGGAAGGAGAAGAAGUUUUGCUGAUUACAUAAGUGCCUCCACAGCACCCUGCCAUUUCACCAACUGUAACUAUGCAUGGGAUGAAUAAAAACUUAGACAUUUUCCUUGCUUGGGAUGGAUGUGUGAAGCCUCCUCAAAGCCUGCACCCAAUAUUUCUAGUCAUCUGUACCAAUAUCUACUUCGGGCCUCUUCAUCUUGGCCACACGGUCACUACAGUUCCUUAUCCAACGUCUUAUAUGAUCUGUGUAUGUCCGGGGUGUCUCCCUCAUCCAUCGCGUCCAGAAGGAGUUGUGUUUAGUCGGGGUUUGUGUGCAUGCCGACAAGUCAUUCACCUGAGAAUCACCAAAUCAUGGUAAAUGCCUGUUUUUCACAUGAUGUGUUGGGAGUGGAAUGAAGGUAAGGAACUCUGAGAUAGAUUGGAACUGAGCUGGACAGUUCUGCAAGCUCCUUUCUAUCUUCCUAGAUUUUAUAGUCUGUUGUCACUGACUCUACACCCCUCAAAACCAGGGUUUCAGCUUUGUCGGGGGGCUGCACCUGGCACUUGGGGAAUUGGAGCCAGACUCUGUAGAUCCUCUUGCAAGGGCAUCUUCAGAAGGCACAUGUUGCCCCUCAGAUCUGGGUCUGAAGCCCAAACAAGGAUUACAGGGCCUCUUCCAGGACCUCAGCUGUGCCCUACAAGGAAAACGUGCUAAGAGUAAGCGUAGGUAUUGUUAACCCAGUCACGAUGGAUUUAAAGUUUGUCUUCCUCACAGUGAAACUGCAUUAUACGGGCUCCUCAGAGUAUGAGUCCAGACAAAGUCAAGUGCAAGUGGUUCACUUGUGAGAUGAUCCCAGGAAGCACCAGUAGGGAAGUAAGGAAGUGCUAUAGGGAAGGGGAGGAAGCAAAAAGGAUGGAGUGUUCAACGAGGUGGGCAAGUAGAGCUUAGCCCCACUGGGGAAUGCCGAGAAGCAGUGUGGAACAUGAGCGUUACCAACCUAGGGCAGAGGACGCUGCAGCAUCGCCCUGCAAACCCCUGGUCAUCAGUUGCUGAAGGCUGCUUCCAGGGGUGUUAGCUCUCCGGCACCUCUGGCUUUUCCUCAAUGAUCGUAGAAAAGGUUCCUGCAGCCAGAAACAAAACAUACAAACAAGAGACUGCUCAGGCAGAGAGUCUUGCGUGUAGAGGUGAGGGCCCCGAGGA